GACGAACGCUGGCGGCGUGCCUAAUACAUGCAAGUCGAACGCAGUGGGGACGGGUGAGUAACACGUGGGUAACCUACCAUCAGAGGGGAUAACACUUGGAAACAGGUGCAAAACCGAUACUGAUGGAUGGACCAGCGGUGCAUUAGCUAGUUGGUGAGGUAACGGCUCACCAAGGCCACGAGGCAUAGCCGGGCUGAGAGGGUGAUCUGCCACACUGUGACUGAGACACGGCCCAGACUCCUACGGGAGGCAGCAGUAGGGAAUAUUCGACAAUGGACGAAAGUCUGACCAAGCAACACCGCGUGAGUGAAGAAGGUUUUCGGAUCGUAAAACUCUUUUGUUAGAGAAGCGUUAUCUAACCAGAAAGCCACGGCUAACUACGUGCCAGCAGCCGCGGUAAUUC
rnacentral:rRNA from 1 species